GAGGAGAAGCUAGCUAGUUGGUUAGCUGGCUGGCUUCACUCUCACUGUUAAGCAAGCACCGGCCAGCUAGAUUCAGGCGUCCGGCAGACCGGCACGUGGCACGCGUUUUCGCUCCUCCUUUCUCCUUCCACCGGCCGAUUAAUUUAACGGCCUCCCACCACCCGAGCAGUCGCCUUCUCCUUCCUCUCAACAGCCCUUCGCCGUCUCGAUUGCUGCGCUGGUCGUCUCUCUCCUCCAGCUCGCCGGUCCAAGACGAGCAAGAAGGGCAGCUCGAUUCGAACAGGGAGAGGGGAUGGAGUUCGUGCUGGUCAUCUCGCUGCCGCUCCUCAUCCUGAUCAUCAUCGUCGCGGUCGUCCUCUGCAUAGUCUGCCGUUAGCUGGAUCCUGAAUGGCCACAGUGAAAUAUUCAGUCCAUCUUUGCUGUGAUAAUACCAUGCGUUAGUUAACUCAGUGCACAAUGAUCUAAUAGAUCUCUUUCUCUCCAUUUUUUGUUGGAUUUUUAGCGCGUUGGGUUUUUUUUUUCUGGUGCAAAAGACGUUGAUCACUAGUAAUACACUUGUGCCGUAAGUGUGGGGAUUGGAUUCCUGACA